AUGGGCCACAAAGAUACUCACAUAGAGAACAGGGCUACAAAAAGCAACUUUGGUCAACUUCACCACUGUGCCCGAAGGAGAGCAUCUCUGCAGCGUUCCCCGCAGCACAGCCCAGCAGGGACAGGCGCUGAGCCCGCCCAGCAGCACCCAACACCGCCCUGCCCAGAGCACCGCACCGCGCAGCUCUUCGUGGGAGGCACAGUCCGACAGCCCAUCGGGGUGGGUCUUUCCCAGCCCCACUGGAAGCCAACAACCAACAGUCACCGAAGACCUACAGACACCGAUACCGCCGGUGGCCGCACGAAGUGCUGCCUGCAGCCUUGCAGCCGCGCGUUUCCGACCGCACACAGCGCAGCGCACAGCCCGCCCAAAGGGGCACGGAGCUGCCGGGGCUCCUCCAUCCCACCCCAUCCCACCUCAUCCAGGUUCCCCCAUCCCACCCUAUCCCCGCACUGUGACCGGUGCUAUACAGGAACAGCUGAGCCGCCGUCCCCGAACGGCGCCGUGUGGCGGCACAGCAGCGGCUCCGCACCGCCCCUGCGGGCACACGGUGCUGCCACGGAGCGGGGAUCUCCCGCAGGAGAGAGGAGAAAUCUCUCCGGAGAUUCUUAUUUCGUUUUUUUUUUGUUUUUUUUUUUGCUCCCCUCAUGUCCACCACGUAGAGGAACCGAGAGAUGCUCAAACGCCCCACGCACCGCCAGCGCCGCUCCGGGCAGACAUGGGCGCGGGCCCCGCCGGGAGGACAGCCGCGCGCGUCGGCUCUGCUGUUACCGACCAGCCAUUUCCCAGCGGGGACGCACACCCGCACGGGGACCCGCACGGGGACCCGCACGGGGACCCGCACGGGGACCCGCACGGGGACCCGCACGGGGACCCGCACGGCUCCGCGCCGCGGGGCUGCAGCGUGACAUCAGCAGAGCGAGGAGAACAGAAACGCAAAAUGGGCGCGGGGGCCGCGGAGAGACCCGACCCCGCACCGCCCCGCACCGCCGCCGUGGCCGCGGAGAUCGGCGGGGACCGGCGCCGACGGAGGGGCGAACGCGGCGGAGAGCAGCCCCUCCCCAUCUCCCCAUUCGGGAGCGCCCCGCAUCCCCCGCCCCGCACUCACGGCGCGCAGCUCCCCGGUGCGGUCCUUCAUCGUUCCCCGCUCCGAACGGCCGCGCGGGGGGAGUACGGGCACGGCACAUGCGCGCAGAGCGGCGGAGCGGCGCGGAACGGCCCCGCGGACCUCUGGGAGCGGCGGGGGGGGUCACGUGGUGGGGGCGGCACGACGGGAGGGGGCGGCACGCGGGGGGGCGCGGGGCGGUGCGGGGGGAGAAUCCGCCCCCGGUGCUGCCGCCCCCGCUGCUCUGCCCGUAA
rnacentral:lncRNA from 1 species